GUUGAGGCGUUUAAACCCGCGUGUCCCGCAGCUCCGGACUCAGGACUUGUCCUAUUUCCGAGAUAUGCCGCGGGCCGAAGGAUACCUGGCGCGGAUCCGGCCGGCUCAGCUCACGCACCGCGGGACGUUCUCCUGCGUGAUCAAGCAAGACCAGCGCCCCCUGGCCCGGCUCUACUUCUUUCUUAACGUGACGGGACCGCCCCCGCGGGCGGAGACAGAGUUGCAGGCCUCGUUCCGGGAAGUGCUGCGCUGGGCGCCGCGGGAUGCCGAGCUGAUCGAGCCCUGGAGGCCCAGCCUGGGCGAGCUGCUGGCCAGGCCCGAGGCUCUGACGCCCAGCAACCUGUUCCUGAUUGCAGUCCUCGGGGCCCUCGCAUCAGCGAGUGCGACAGUGUUGGCGUGGAUGUUCUUUCGAUGGUACUGCAGUGGCAACUAACAAAGGUAUCUCUUUCCUCCUUCCCUAUCCUAUUUCCAUCCUGAAAAUAAAGAAUAUAUUUCAACUCUA
rnacentral:sRNA from 1 species